CCUCAGGUCAGGCGGGAUCACCCGCUGAAUUAAGCAU
rnacentral:rRNA from 1 species